UAUGCUAGGAUGUGAUGGGGAAGCCCUUCGGGGCGAAGUAGCCGAUUUCACACUGUCAAGAAAAGCUUCUAUCGAGUUUAAAGGCGCCCGUACCGUAAACCGACACAGGUGGGUGAGGAGAGUAUCCUAAGGCCAGCGAGAGAACUAUUGUUAAGGAACUCGGCAAAAUGACCCCGUAACUUAGGGAGAAGGGGUGCCUGUCUAUGACAGGCCGCAGAGAAUAGGCCCAAGCGACUGUUUACCAAAAACACAGGUUUCUGCUAAGUCGCAAGACGAUGUAUAGGAGCUGACGCCUGCCCGGUGCUGGAAGGUUAAGGGGAUCUGUUAGAGCAAUCGAAGCAGUGAACUUAAGCCCCAGUAAACGGCGGCCGUAACUAUAACGGUCCUAAGGUAGCGAAAUUCCUUGUCGGGUAAGUUCCGACCCGCACGAAAGGCGUAACGAUUUGGGCACUGUCUCAACAAUAGACUCGGUGAAAUUGUAAUCCCGGUGAAGAUGCCGGGUACCUGCGACAGGACGGAAAGACCCCAUGGAGCUUUACUGUAGCUUGACGUUGGGUCUUGGUACUACAUGUACAGGAUAGGUGGGAGACUAUGAAGCAUGGACGCCAGUCUGUGUGGAGUCAUCCUUGGGAUACCACCCUUGUAGUACUGGGAUCCUAACCAUAGGCCUUGAAUCAGGUCUUGGAACACCGUCAGGUGGGCAGUUUGACUGGGGCGGUCGCCUCCUAAAAAGUAACGGAGGCGCUCAAAGGUUUCCUCAGCACGGUCGGAAAUCGUGCGAAGAGUGUAAAGGCAAAAGGAAGCUUGAUUGCAAGACAUACAGGUCGAGCAAGGACGAAAGUCGGACUUAGUGAUCCGGUGGUACCGCAUGGAAGGGCCAUCGCUCAACGGAUAAAAGCUACCCUGGGGAUAACAGGCUUAUCUCCCCCAAGAGUCCACAUCGACGGGGAGGUUUGGCACCUCGAUGUCGGCUCAUCACAUCCUGGGGCUGUAGUAGGUCCCAAGGGUUGGGCUGUUCGCCCAUUAAAGUGGUACGCGAGCUGGGUUCAGAACGUCGUGAGACAGUUCGGUCCCUAUCCGUCGCAGGCGUAGGAAAUUUGAGAAGACCUGUCCUUAGUACGAGAGGACCGGGAUGGACGUACCUCUGGUGUACCAGUUGUUCUGCCAAGGGCAUGGCUGGGUAGCUAUGUACGGAAUGGAUAAGCGCUGAAAGCAUCUAAGCGCGAAGCCAACUUCAAGAUAAGAUUUCCCACCGUAAGGGUAAGACCCCAGGAAGACUACCUGGUUGAUAGGUCGAAGGUGUAAGUGCAGUAAUGUAUUUAGCUUAUCGAUACUAAUAGGUCGAGGACUUGACCA
rnacentral:rRNA from 1 species